rnacentral:rRNA from 1 species
GACGAACGCUGGCGGCGUGCCUAACACAUGCAAGUCGAGCGGGGUCCAUCCGGUAGCAAUACUGGGGAAGACCUAGCGGCGAACGGGUGAGUAACACGUGAGAAACCUGCCCCGAAGUCUGGGAUAACCCGAGGAAACUCGAGCUAAUACCGGAUGCCUUCUUCUGAUCGCAUGGUCGGAUGAAGAAAGAUUUAUCGCUUCGGGAGGGUCUCGCGGCCUAUCAGCUAGUUGGCGGGUAACGGCCCACCAAGGCGUCGACGGGUAGCUGGUCUGAGAGGACGAUCAGCCACACUGGGACUGAGACACGGCCCAGACUCCUACGGGAGGCAGCAGUGGGGAAUAUUGCGCAAUGGGCGAAAGCCUGACGCAGCAACGCCGCGUGCGGGAUGAAGGCCUUCGGUUGUAAACCGCUUUCAGUGGGACGAAUUCAGACGGUA